rnacentral:rRNA from 1 species
AGUGAACGCUGGCGGUAGGCCUAACACAUGCAAGUCGAACGGCAGCACAGUAAGAGCUUGCUCUUACGGGUGGCGAGUGGCGGACGGGUGAGGAAUACAUCGGAAUCUACUUUUUCGUGGGGGAUAACGUAGGGAAACUUACGCUAAUACCGCAUACGACCUACGGGUGAAAGCAGGGGAUCUUCGGACCUUGCGCGAUUGAAUGAGCCGAUGUCGGAUUAGCUAGUUGGCGGGGUAAAGGCCCACCAAGGCGGCGAUCUGUAGCUGGUCUGAGAGGAUGAUCAGCCACACUGGAACUGAGACACGGUCCAGACUCCUACGGGAGGCAGCAGUGGGGAAUAUUGGACAAUGGGCGCAAGCCUGAUCCAGCCAUACCGCGUGGGUGAAGAAGGCCUUCGGGUUGUAAAGCCCUUUUGUUGGGAAAGAAAAGCAGCAGGUUAAUACCCCGCUGUUCUGACGGUACCCAAAGAAUAAGCACCGGCUAACUUCGUG